CACAGGCAGAGGGAGAAGCAGGCUCCAUGCAGGGAGUCCAACGUGGUACUUGAUCCCAGGACCCUGGGAUCACGCCCUGAGCCAAAGGCAGACACUUAACCUGAGCCACCCAGGUGUCCCUAUUCCUGUAUUCUUUAGUAGCUAAUCCCUCAUUACUAAUUAUUCCUUCUCUCAUUCACAAACAUACACACACACACACACACACACGACACAUAUAUGAAGUUUCCUCAUAUAAAUUUAUAAAGCUUCCUCAUUUAAAUUAUUUUGUGGUUACAGUCUCCUGAUCAAAACCUGAUCUAUGCAAAGUGCUAGGAAUUAUUCCAGAUGGUUUGCAAAGAUGAAUUUACUCAAUCCUAAUAACUAACCUUCAAGGUAGGUGUGGUUAUCAGCCCAUGGUGAAACUGAGGUAAUGAGAUGUUUAGAAACACGCCCAAGUUUACACAGCCAGGAAGUGGUGGGGCCUAGAAGUGAAUCCAGGCAGUCUGCCACUAGGGUCAGCAUUUUAGUUGCUCUGUUCUCUUCCCAUCUUCUCUAGAAUUGGCUUACUGGAUUAUUUUGCAUAAAGCCAUUGAGACUCCAGAAUUUUCUGGGGGUAUUGGAGUUGACCACUCUUUCCUAUCUGCUCUCUUGUAUUUAUUGCUUUUGUACUGUGUGUCAGGCAUUGGCAGAGGGGUAAAAAUACAGCCAGCUUAUUACAUAGUGAUGGUGUUUUAGAGAAAGUGUAUUCUCACAGAGGACUAGGAAUAGGUAAAUCUAAUUCAAACUUGAGCAUCUGAAGUUAAAAAUAGGAUAGUUUUGUGUUUUUGAUGGGAGGUACAUUUUACACCCAUUUUCUGUAGAAAUUCUUUGGUCAUUGUUGCACUCACGGUUCUGAAAUACCUUUUUUUGGGUGAGAAAUCUACAUAUUUUCUCAAGCAAAGAAAGAAAUUUGCUUAGGAUUUCUUUAUUCCCUAAAAACUGUGUGUGGCCUGUGAGAGUUGAAUGUAGUGGUAGCACCAAAAGCUCUUCUGAGCUGUGAGAAGCUCUUCUGAGCUUCAGAGUUCACAAAGGAGGGGGCUCCUGAAAACACCAAUCACCAGAAACAAUUUAUAAGAACCUGCGUGGUGAGAGCAACAUUGUGCGCUUCUCAGCGGGGCCAGGCCCAGAGCAGAGCGCCUCUGCCUGAGGGGCCACUGUCAUGGGACUGAACGCUGGUUUGGGCUGAUCCACGGCCAAAGACUGGGGACUUGGUUCUUUGAAACUAAGAACAGACAGAGAACUUCCUUAGGAUUUAUAAGCCUUGUUCUGAAAAGCAAAAGGAUUAAAAAAAAAUCCUUGUAAUAGCUUGCAAUGAGUAGUAGUAAAAUGUGCUUCAGAUUUUGAGGUAAGAAGAGAAUCCCUGAGAUAUUUUUUUUUUUCUCCUCAAAUUAGAGCAGUUACGAUGGCUCACUAUUUUCGGGAAAAUGCUAGAGCAGUGUAUCGGCCAGUUGAGUGAUUUGGAUGGUGGUGAUGAGUUUGCUUAGGAAAUGUGGGAACAGGUAACUGGUUCUUUCUCCUUUGUCUCGUUUUCUGGUGCCUGGAGGAAAUCUGGAGUCCCAGCCCAACUGUGCCAGAAUUUUAGGUAUGGCCUCUGAAGCCAGCGUAGUAACCAAGGUGCCGCUACACAGUUCCCGGAUGCUACCAUUCGCCUGUCCCCAGAGAAGGGAAAAAUCUUACCCUCUCUAGACCCAAGAGGACACUCUAAACAGACAGUGCAAAAGGGGAGGGAGGGAGGGUGAAGCUCUGGCAAAGGAGCCUCUCAUGUUCCCCCUAUCUCUGUUUCCCCUUCUCCACAGCCACCUCCUCCUCCCAGUUACCCAGGAAAAAGAACUGACCAAGUCCUAGAUUCCUUCUCAUGAUUAAAUUGAGAUCGAGGCUCAAAUCUAGGCUUUCCGAGUCACAAUUUCCAAAUCUCUUACUUUGGCAAAAAAUUUGCAGGUCGCUUUUGGUCUGGCAACUUUUCCCAUUAACCUCAUUUGAUGUCGCUUCCCCAGGAAUAUUUAAUUAGAAUCUCUCUUUCUGAUGCCAGCAGAACUGAACUACUUGUGAACUGAGCUUUAAAUUGGAUAUGUUGUGUUUGUAGUUUCUUCCCUCAAACUCCUUACAUCUUUUAUUGAGGGUGAAUUUUGCUUGAUUUGUGUUUAACUUCCUGAGCCUUGCUGUAUUCAGUACCCCUAGGAUAGGCUCAACAGGACAGAGCUGGGGUAUGCAGAUUCUCAGAUGGAAUGUAAAUUUGGAAUGUAAUGGAAACCCAACAGGGAGGUUUGAAUUUCUCAGAUGGAGUUUUGGUACAACGUAGGUGAGUUUUGAAGUUAUUCAAUCUUCAUGGGUAUUAAAAUGUUUUAACCUCUACUAGAGAAAUGUUUAAGAGUGAACAAUCUAUUCUUCUGGCUUUGUGCAUUAAGUAGAGACAUGAGAGUGCUCCUGCCUGUGGAUUUUUUUUUAAAGGAAUUUAAAGCAUUUUAACAGAACGGCAGACUACUGCCCAGCUAAGAUCACAAUGGUUCCACCUGAAUAGAUGUAAUAUAGUAUUGAAAUGGCCUGACAGUGGCACUACAAUAUUGAAAUUACCACUUCAAACAUGCAAAUUAGUAAAAGCUCACAUGUUCAGGGGCUCAUAAGAUAGGCAAAAUCUAGGAAAAAAUGUAAUUAGGUCUGAACGCUUUUUCACAUUCUUUUUUUUCUGUGACCUGGGCGCAUUUGCAAUGUGCUUAGGAAUGUGUCUGAACGGUCUUGACCCUGAGAGCAAUGGGAGCCAGUGAGUCAGUCAAGGCUGAGAGCGGUUGGGGCCAGUGCUGACAAAGGAAGGUGCACUCCUGGUCUGAAAAAUCUGUUGUUUUUCUGUUGCAAGAAUUAUUUGACUCCUCUUUCAAGCUGUCCCAUGUACACUGACAUUUCUCAGGGGCAGGCCAAAUCUUGCUACACAAAAUUUGUGCAAAGUCCUUCUGUCUUGUAAAAUAUCAAUUCGGGGCCUCAGAUGGAGUAAAUGGGGAUUGCAGUCCUGAACAUUUAUCUUUCUUAUUUGAACGAACAACUCUUCCUUCCUUCCUGGAAUGUGCCUUAACAUUUAAAAUUCCUAUUAAAUCUCUGGGUACACCCAGAGACCUCAGAAAGCUCUCGCAGAGAAAGCAAACAUCCUCCUGUGCUUGGCAAAAGAAAUGGAUGCUUGCGUGGUGUGUAGGCUCAGCUGCUCAGGGCUGCUCUGUGGAAGAGAACCACUGAACCUGGGUUGCCAGAAAAAAUGUUAAUGUUGAGCUGAAAAUAAGCAUUUGCCCUUGAAAAAGGCCAACAGAACUGUAGCACCCACAGAAGUUCAAUGGAAGCAGUGGCCAAACUGAGCUGCAGUUAAAGAUAGGGGACUUGGGGUUAUUUGGGGCUUGGGCUCCCAGCAUCCAUUCUCCCUUCCUGAGGGAACAGUAGCCCUUCCCAUACAGCCCCUGUGCUCCUGGGGAGCUAGCCACACCCCAGCUCCAGAGCUGGGAUCCAAUCAGUCUAUACUAAUUAGUACAUCUUAUUUGCUGCUCCCUCCCCCAUUUUGGUGUUUGGUUUGGUAGCCAGCAAUCUGGGCCAAUGAUUUUCAAGACCUUUGCAAAGGGUUUUUUUCGCAGGGACUUUCAACAAAGAUACUUGCUCCACAUGGAUGCUACCUGGAGUGCAUCUCUUUUCUUCUGGACAGUGUAGGGGAUAGACUUGAAUCUUAAGAAGCAAGGUGGCUACCUGCCACCAUUCUGAACACAAGGUCUGCCUAAGGAGGAAGGAGAGCUGAGGUAAUCAAGAGAAAUGAGCUUGAAUCCUGAUCAAAUUGGACCUAAGGCAUACUUUGUUGCUGGACUUUUCAGGCACUGAACCAAUAAACUGUCUUUAUCGUUUAGGCGAGACUGAGCUGAGGUCUAUGUUACUUGCAACCAACAUUUCCAAACUACCACAUGGUGUCUAAGAUGACUGGGGUUCAUACCACUUAUAUGUGGGCAACGUACUGGCAGGGGCCAUUGUGAGGCAUUGGUUUCUUCUGAAAAAAAUACUUGUCCUAAGUGAAAAAGUAUUGUGGAGAGAGCUCUGUGCCACAACCUCUCAGUUUCCGUGAAAGUCAGUGAAUGCCCACAUUUAAUAAUAAAGUGGGCAUCAAUAAAAAAAGCAAACCAGGUGUCAAAUGCAGCAUAUUUUAAUUUGUUUCAAAUAAAGCAAUAUAUGUAUAUAUUUUUUUUUCAGAAAAACACCAGAUGUUAAAUUCUACAAAAGCGCAUGUGUCUUCAGCAGAUCAUGUUUGUCUGAUCACUUAGGCCACCAACGUCACAGCUGGGACUGAGAGGACCGCAGCAUCUGUGGAAACUUCUAUUCUUGUGGGGCAGAGAUUGCACUGUGAAACCCUAGCAACGUUACCCCGGAAAGGCCUGGCCUCAGAGUUGUCUACAGUGUGCUGCCUUCGCCGGGGCUUUUCCGAAUGGGCUGGGGCCUCGGGGGUCUUUAUCCCCAAGGGGGCUUCUUGGUUUUUGGCGCCGCCUUUGUUUUUGGGACGGAAGCCAUUGUGCGGCUGUCUUCUGUGUUCAUGGCGGUUGUUGCCCUUCAUCAUCACAUCAGCUUCAUUUCCGCUGCCCUGUGGCUUGGCAGACCCAUUUAGCCUGUUGUUAUGGUACUGGGGAUUAAACCUUCGUCUUUGGCUAGAAGACCCAUUCUGCCAAAAGAAGAAGAGAGCUAGGUAUUAGAUGCCAGCAAACUCCAGAUGACAUCAGGGAAACCAAAACUCUAAGCUACUUAUACCCUAGAAGAAUAGGACAAUGUGCGGAUGGGGUCAAGCUGAUAAAAUCCUCAAGCUAAAAAGAAUAGUGGACUGUCUUGUAGGUAGAGCUCCAAGAAAAUUACUGAUGUUGGACGAGAGGGUUCAGAAGCAUAAGACACAAUUCAAGAGCCAAAUAAACCCCAUAAAGUACGCUUAAAAUAUAAUGGAAUGAAAUGUAACACAGAGGCAGGACAAUGAUGAUUCCCUACCAUGCAAAUUUCUUGGAACUUCUAGACAGAUUAUGUAUAUGAAUUCUCAUUCUCUAUAUAAGAAAAAUGUAGAAUUCUGCUUAAAAUUCAUUUUGUAAGUUUUCUUCUCUAAAGCAGUUUUUCUAUUUUUAUCUCCAAACAAAUAUCAUAGCUUAGAAAUAUUAUCCUGGGUAAAUACAAGGAUGAGGUCUAUCUGGUAGAACUUGGCAGGAUGUGGAGGUAACGUGUAUUUUCACAGAGGUAAUUAGUUCUUCUUCUAAACUUUUUGUAAUCCUCAGCCAACAUGAGUUCUGAAGCAUCAUUCUGGAAAAUUGGCAACCUUCAACAAAUCAGCAACCAAGAACAUAAAUGGGAGAGCAGAGAGGUAGCAACGGUUAGCUUGUCUGUCCCUGUACCAGGGAAGGAUUUCUGAACUCCUUGAGGGAACAGCCAACGUUUACUGAGUGCUUGCAGUGUGCCAGGCAUCACGCAAGGCACGGUCUCGUGUGUCAUCACACUGGGCCUAGUUGCUAUUAUGUGCUUCAUUUUAUAGAUGAGGAUAAUGAAUAUAAACGACUUGCCCAAGGUCUACAGUUAGAAAAUGACAGAACCAUUCCCGUUUUGCAUAUUGUCUCCUGACAAGAUUCAUAAAUACGUUAUCCCAUGGACAUAGGCCUUUAUUGAAAAAUCAAAUUUCUAUUAUUAAAAUGUGAUUUUAUGACUCAAAUA